GCCGCAUUUCAGUCCAUAGAGCCGAGUCUUCUGUGAUCCCAAUAAGGAAAAAGAAUGGAGAAACUCCUGGAAGUGUCUUUGCUGAUACUAUGGCUUCAACUGCCCACGGUGAACAGCCAGCAGGAACAGCAUCAUCAGGUCCUGAGCAUCCAGGAGGGUGAAAAUGCCACCAUGAACUGCAGUUAUAAAACUUCGAUAAGCAACUUACAGUGGUAUAGACAAGACUCGGAUCAAGGCUUUGUCCAGCUGAUUUUAAUACGUUCAAAUGAAAGAGAGAAACACAGCAGAAGGCUACGGGUCACCCUGGACAACUCCAUCAAAAGCAGUUCUUUGUCCAUCAUUGCUUCCCAGACUGCAGACUCUGCUACUUACAUCUGUGCCACAGGACACAAUGUUCACCAGGCACCUGCAGCCUCUGCACAAACUCUGCCAAAGCUGCCCCUUUGAAGCCCCACAGUGGG